rnacentral:rRNA from 1 species
AUUGAACGCUGGCGGCAUGCCUUACACAUGCAAGUCGAACGGUAACGCGGGGCAACCUGGCGACGAGUGGCGAACGGGUGAGUAAUGUAUCGGAACGUGCCCAGUUGUGGGGGAUAACUGCUCGAAAGAGCAGCUAAUACCGCAUACGACCUGAGGGUGAAAGCGGGGGAUCGCAAGACCUCGCGCAAUUGGAGCGGCCGAUAUCAGAUUAGGUAGUUGGUGAGGUAAAGGCUCACCAAGCCGACGAUCUGUAGCUGGUCUGAGAGGACGACCAGCCACACUGGGACUGAGACACGGCCCAGACUCUUACGGGAGGCAGCAGUGGGGAAUUUUGGACAAUGGACGCAAGUCUGAUCCAGCCAUGCCGCGUGCGGGAAGAAGGCCUUCGGGUUGUAAACCGCUUUUGUCAGGGAAGAAACGCUCUGGGUUAAUACCUCGGGGUAAUGACGGUACCUGAAGAAUAAGCACCGGCUAACUACGUGCCAGCCGCCGCCGUAACAC